rnacentral:rRNA from 1 species
GAUGAACGCUGGCGGCGUGCCUAAUACAUGCAAGUCGAGCGAACAGACGAGGAGCUUGCUCCUCUGACGUUAGCGGCGGACGGGUGAGUAACACGUGGAUAACCUACCUAUAAGACUGGGAUAACUUCGGGAAACCGGAGCUAAUACCGGAUAAUAUAUUGAACCGUAUGGUUCAAUAGUGAAAGACGGUUUUGCUGUCACUUAUAGAUGGAUCCGCGCCGCAUUAGCUAGUUGGUAAGGUAACGGCUUACCAAGGCAACGAUGCGUAGCCGACCUGAGAGGGUGAUCGGCCACACUAGAACUGAGACACGGUCCAGACUCCUACGGGAGGCAGCAGUAGGGAAUCUUCCGCAAUGAGCGAAAGCCUGACGGAGCAACGCCGCGUGAGUGAUGAAGGUCUUCGGAUCGUAAAACUCUGUUAUUAGGGAAGAACAAAUGUGUAAGUAACUAUGCACGUCUUGACGGUACCUAAUCAGAAAGCCACGGCUAACUACGUG